GUGUGCUAGGUGGGGAAUUAGCGGUGCCCUGUUACCCGCAAUCCGCUAUAGCGGGGCUGAAUUCCUGCAUGAGAAUAUUCAUGUUCUCAGAAAAGCAGAUAAGUGGUGUUGAGAAUGAAGCCCAACGCAAUUGUAAACUGUGAACCGUGUCAGGCCCGGAAGGGAGCAGCACUAAGCGGAUCUUACAAUGUGCCGUUGGUCUACUUUGUUUGAGCUAACUGUUUGUUUUUUUGUUAACCAGGUAUCGACUGCAGGUGCACAC
rnacentral:SRP_RNA from 1 species